rnacentral:lncRNA from 1 species
GACGAUUUUGACAAGAGAUAAUGAGAAUGAGACACAACAUUCACUUUUCAGAGGAUAAGUUUCUCAAACUAUAUGAAACAUUUUAGUGCUAAGAUUUCCACGCAUUAACCUUUCAUUCUUUAAAAUGUAAAAGAAUUUAUUAGUUGUCGAACGAGUGCACAGCAUCAUUUUUAUCGCUCCCAGCCUCAGGAUUCAGAACCCCUCACUUUGUCAAAGAUGUCUAAGGAUGAGUCUGAUGUUGAGCGGCAAUUCCGGGAAGAUUUGGAGAAAGCCCAAGCGUUGAGCCUAGAAAGUCUGGCUUUGGAAAACUUUCGCAAGCAGAAACAGCAACAACAACUAUCAUAUUUAACAAAAAAAGCUCAAGACCCUAGUAUAAAAGGAACCUCGAGCAAAAAUGUCAUUUAUCCACAAAUACCUUCUUUUACCAAUGAGCUAACAGGGGGAAAAAUCAAGCUCUAAGGAUGUCAACAAUUGAAAGAAGCCCUGGAGUUCAACUCAGCCCUGUUACUCAGAGUAUGUUCGUUUAAUCAUUUUUAAUUUACGCCCUUUAUCAUUUCUUCCCUAAUAUACUUUUUCCAUUUACUGUAUUUUACAAAGAAUAAUAAGAGGU